AAAAGUCAGACUGAGCCACAAUGUUGGACUGAUAUCACUACCAAAGGAUGGAGAAGAUGUUGAAGCAGAUAUUCUCUGUAGUGUUGCUGGUUGGGGAAGACUGUGGUCAAAAGGCCCAAGUCCAGAUCGUCUAAGAGAGGCAGAGACAGUAAUUGUGAAUGAUGCAGAGUGUGAACGCAGAUGGAACAAGACUUACAAGGCUUCAAAGAUGAUCUGUGCUUAUGGCCAUGGUGGAUCCUGCAGUGGGGAUUCUGGAGGUCCUUUGGUUUGUAAUAACACUGCUGUUGGUAUCACUUCUUUCGGUGACCGUUAUCUCUGUAAUUCACGUUUGCUUCCUAACGUGUAUACUAGGAUUUCAGCAUAUCUUCCAUGGAUCCACAACAUAACUGGAAAUGUUUAUAAAAAGAAAUAAUCUUGAGAUGUUUUUUUUUUUCAUUCUUCCAUAAAUCUUUUAAUAAAAGUAUCAAAUGGCAAGCAUC